GGCGAGAUGGCCGAGCGGUCUAAGGCGCUAGAAUCAGGUUGCCUAAUGGUCCUGAUCUAUCUAGUCAUUCGUGGCGUGGGUUCGAAUCCCACUCUCGUCA
rfam:Gymnopus luxurians FD-317 M1 unplaced genomic scaffold GYMLTscaffold_42, whole genome shotgun sequence.